GCUUGUCUCAAAGAUUAAGCCAUGCAUGUCUAAGUAUAAACGAUUUUAUACGUGAAACUGCGAAUGGCUCAUUAUAUCAGUUAUAGUUUAUUUGAUGGUCCUUACUACUUGGAUAACCGUAGUAAUUCUAGAGCUAAUACAUGCCAAGGUCGUAAGACUGCAUUUAUUAGAUAUACCAAGUCGGUGAAUCAUAAUAACUUAGCAAAUCGAAACAACGUUUCGAUAAAUCAUUCAAGUUUCUGACCUAUCAUGCUGGAUGGUAGUGUAUUGGACUACCAAGGCAGUCACGGGUAACGGAGAAUUAGGGUUCGAUUCCGGAGAAGGAGCCUGAGAAACGGCUACUACAUCUAAGGAAGGCAGCAGG
rnacentral:rRNA from 1 species